GACGAACGCUGGCGGCGUGCUUAACACAUGCAAGUCGAACGGAGUGGCGAACGGGUGAGUAACACGUGGGUGAUCUGCCUUGCACUUCGGGAUAAGCUUGGGAAACUGGGUCUAAUACCGGAUAGUGCAAGAUGAGCUCGCGGCCAAUCAGCUUGUUGGUGGGGUAAUGGCCUACCAAGGCGUCGACGGGUAGCCGGCCUGAGAGGGUGUACGGCCACAAUGGGCCUGCGAGACGCCCCAGACGCCUACGGGAGGCAGCAGUGGGGAAUAUUGCGCAAUGGUCGGAAGUCUAAUGCAGCGACGCCGCGUGUGGAAUGAACGCCUUCGGGUUGGAAACUCCUUUCGACAGGGACGCGGUACCUGUAUAAGAAGCACCGGCUAACUACGUGCCAGCAGCCGCGGUAAUUC
rnacentral:rRNA from 1 species